AACUCAGAUAUCUUCCACCUCUACUUAUCUGAGUGCAGAGAGGAGGACAGAGAACAGUGGACACACAGUUUAACAUGAUGGACUAUAGGACAGGACUGCUGCUAUUAACUAUCUGCUGGGCAGGUGUUUGCAGGUGUGCAUUCUGACUGAGUCUGAACCAGUGGUUUUUGAUCCAGCAAUGAGUGGAGAUGCAGCACUGUGAUGCUUUUGACUACUGGGGCAGCGGGACUGAAGUCACAGUAACAGAAACUACAACGGCUACAACAUCCCCGACUCUGUUCCCUUUGGUUCAGUGCAAUCCUGGGGCUGCAAAUCUAGUCACUGUUGGCUGUCUUGCACAAGACUUCUACCCAAAGAGUCUUACUUUCCUGUGGACCGAUGCCAGUGGGACCACACUGACUGCAGAUGUACAAUAUCCUCCAGCUGAGAAAAACAACAAAUAUACCGGAGUCAGUUCGCUCAAGAUACCAAAAUCUGAAUGGGAUUCAAGGGGUCCUUAUAGUUGUUCUGUGACUCACCCUGGAGGCCCCAAAACCGUGCAACUAUUAAAAGCUCCUUCAGCUCCUACUUCCCCAACCAUAAAGCCCCUAGUGCCACCAAAAGUGGAACUGAAGCAAGUCUCAAGUGUCAAAGAAAUCUUUAGCAACAACCAGGCAGAGUUUAAGUGUAUCAUCACUGGACAGGACCAGAAUGUUGUAAAUCAAAUUAAAAUCACUUGGCAAAUCAAUGGAAACCCUGUGACCAACAACAUCCCAACAACACAGUCGGGAGUCAGCACAAUGACUCUUGACCGCACUGAGUGGAUGAGAAACAACAACGUGCGCUGUUCUGCCACGAAAGACGAUAUGACACUAGCUAGUCAAGAUCUGACUUUCCGCAAAGGAGAUGGGAGCAAGCCAAAAGUAACAGUCCACAUCCUCCCAGAUGAGGACAUCAUCGAUGAGGUCACUCUGGUGUGUCUGGUUUCCAAUCCGGUGCAGCAGGAUUACUACAUCACCUGGUCAGAACAUACUGGAAAUAAACAAUCCAGCUAUACUGAUGGCAUUAACUUCCCCCAAGUGAAUACCCAACAAAGAUACUCAGUUGCAAGUAUUUACACCACCACCAAAGAAAAGUGGAACAACUUCACCAUGUUCUCCUGCCACGCAUUUCCUGGUAGUGGCGAAGAGUCUACUAUAUCCAGAGAUGUGUCUAAGGCCAUGAGUAACUCCAUUGAAUAUUUGACUCCAGAAUCAAAUCUGAGUUUUGCUCUGAGCUGCACAGAUGAUGCCUUUGAGGAGGAAGAGUACAGCAGCCUUUGGUCCACAGCCUUCUCCUUCAUAAUCCUCUUCAUAUCCUCUCUUCUCUAUAGCAUGAUAUUCAGCAUGGUCAAGAUGAAGAGAACAUAAAGGAUGAGAUGGAUGCAAAGCAUGAUGACGACAGGUCUUCUUGUUUUUUGUCUUUUUUAUCUAAUAUUAAAAUGUACAUAAUCGAUAAUCUAUCCUAUUUUUGCCAAAUAGAAAUGGUCAUCAUAUAUAAUGGUUAAAUCAUUGAAAAUGGAUUUCUCUGUAACCUGUAAAAAGAAAAAAGAAAAUUGCAAUUCUUAAUUAUUUACUGUGUAUGAAUCAGGCUCAUGAACCAUUUGUACAGCCAUGAAAAGUAACGCAGUGUAAUGUAUUCCACGUACGUUUUGCUGUAUGCACCACAUUGACUGCUGCUGUAUAAGAGCGCUGUGGAACCGGUGGAUGGGUGGCUCAUAAAACACAGUGCUUUCAUGUCAGGGAGAGGAGUUCACUUCCAGGGGAAAACAAAAGACUUUCACCCAGGAAACACAUGUUCAUUCCUCAGGAGUGUUUUAAUCCAAACCACAAUCUUUUUCCUAAACCUAACAAGUGGUUUUGGUGCCCAGCCUUAACUGUGGAUGCCACAUUAAGCUCACUUGUUGUUGGCUAAACUUAACUGCCACGGCCCCUUAAAGGACCAUCAUCUUGUGUGCCCUAUAGCCGGCUCCCAGUAAACUUUUGUCAGCUAAACCAUAGAUCAUAUAAUAGUAAUGGAGAAACCGUCUAGGCCUAAAAAAAUGAAGCCAAUGCAGAAGUGUGUUAAACCUGCAUUCUAUCUACUUAAGGGAGUAACUUAAGGGAAAGUUUGCCAGUUUUCUGUACUGUCUUACAUGCAGAUGGAUGGCGGCAGUUGCCUACCCAGAGGUCCGUGUUUACCUGCUGGUAAAUCUCCACUGGAUGACUCGUUUCAGAAGGGUUGGAAAUCAGCAACUUUCCCUCUUUAGCGUUUAGCUUAGCGCCCUUACAACAAUAAAAAACACUGGAUUGGCCGCAUCAUCCUUCCCCGCUUACCCUCUCGUCAAAAAUCGCCACAUCCGGUAGCAAAAAACACAAGAGCUUGUGUCUCCACACUCGAGGCUUCAAAACGGCAGUCCAUAAAGUAAUGGGUGACGUCACAGAUGGUACGUCCUCUAUUAUAUAUGUCUAUGGGCUAAACUCAACUAGCAGCAGCCACUGGUACAAGCAACAGCUCACAGAGCUCUGUAGCCGGCGUCUCACCUAAUUUCAUAGGAUGUCAUGGUGUGCAUUCAUUUUUGUACGAUAUCCUAUGAACCCGUUCAUUAGAACGUGUUGCAUGAAUACAUGUUCCAGCAUUGGGUACUGUUGUUUCAUUAUGAUAAGGAAGUUAUUGAUUACUUUACAUUUUUAGUGCCCUAAAAAUGUAUUAUUGAAGUAUAGCAUUGAUUUUUCAUUGACACGUAAAUAACAAAUAGAC